UACGUAGGUGACAAGCGUUGUCCGGAUUUACUGGGCGUAAAGAGCGCGCAGGCGGUCGUUCAAGUCGAAUGUGAAAGCCCCCGGCUCAACUGGGGAGGGUCAUUCGAUACUGCUCGGCUCGAAGACAGGAGAGGGAAGUGGAAUUCCCGGUGUAGUGGUGAAAUGCGUAGAUAUCGGGAGGAACACCAGUGGCGAAGGCGGUUACCUGGAGCUUUGCUGACGCUGAUGCGCGAAAGCGUGGGGAGCGAGUCCGG
rnacentral:rRNA from 1 species